rnacentral:lncRNA from 1 species
UCAACGCUGAUCGUGGGUAGGUCGAGCAGAGAUCGUUCGUUCUCUACUUGGCGUGCUGGUGUUGUGGCUCUAAAGAACUGCCUAGGUAUGGGAUCCAGCUUUGUGUCACAGAGGAAAUGGAUUCCAGCUUCCUGGCUUGACACUGAGGGCUGGACCCUAGGCCCAGAAGAAAUCCAGAGCUGGAUUAGAAGUCUAGCUGGUAGCUGGUCGCCUAUACUGCACUUGGAUGAGGGCGAAAGGCAGCAGGAGAGGCACUCAGUGCCCCAUUCCCAGACGAGGAGGGCUUCUCUCAGCCCUCUCCUCGCUGUCUCUCAGCCUGGCCACACAAACCUAUUGGAGGCUACAAGUCUGAGUACAGAUGUUGACGGAAGUUGACCUUCGACCAAAACCUGUGCAUUCAGAAAGUACCGACCACAGCUUCCUCCCUGCAGAUGACUGUAGCCUGACACUGCUCCCUCACAGAGACCACCUAUGGAGAUAAGCUGAGCCAUCUCUUCAUCCGUGCUGUAUAUCAUAAACACAUUGAGCUUCAGGACUACUGCUUGUAUGUCUCCAUCUGAGUACAUGGCCACUGGGUCCCAGCCUUACAUAAUUUAUAUCUAUCUUAUUCUUCAUGGCCCCCAGUCUGAUCAAGACCAAAGCCAUGUGGGUUUCUGCGGGAAGUCCUUUCUAAAGGGAGUCAAGGGUGGUAGCAUACUGAUAAUAUUGACAGAUGAUCACCAUUCCUAAGCAUGAUCAAUCCACCUCCUGCCUUCUAGACUCAGUGAUGGGGGAGAAGGCCAGGGCUCCUCUGGCAUCAGAUAAUCAGGAAGGGGUUUGAGAUAGCUGCCUUGUGUUUCCAGGCCAGUCCAUCUCAAAAUAAAGACAUUUUCUGCA